rnacentral:lncRNA from 1 species
UUGUCGGUUUCGCAUUAACCAUUCCUGAUUAAUGGUUCUGGGUGAUAAAUGAAUACUACUUUUUUUGCAGUUAGUUGAUAUUGUAAUGGAUAUUUUAUGGUCAUUAAAUAGAAGCAUUUUUUAAGCACCUCUAGUAAAUGCAUUUUCUUUUAAAUUCCAUUCCAAUUUGAAAUAAAGACUUGCAGUUUACUUUGUUUACAAAUGACAACCUUAAUG